AUACAUAGAAAACCAAACGAUGGCACACUUCAACUUUUAUUUGUUUUGUCAAACAACACACACACCCGAACCCUGCAAACAUAAAACCAAAACAGUGCGGCGCCCAAGUUCUCUGAACAGAAACGAGUCUAAAGGACAAUCAAGACGUCGGGUGAGGAGACCCGCCGGGUCAAUGCCACAAGGCAGAACUGGGUCAAGAAAAACAAAGCGUGUGACAUGCAUCAAAUGCACACCUUCAACCAUACAAGUUUCACAGAAAACAAAUGCAGUGCACUUACCAAAAAUACAUAUAUACUUUUAUAAAAGCCUCAUUGUUCCCUCUUACAAUGACAGCAAAAUACUUUGUGCAAAUUCCUCUGCGAGUAGAUUAAAACCCAACUAGAGAAACAACAAAAAGUAUGAAGUGAACCAUGUACAGUAAACAAUUCCCCCCAAAGAGGCAGAGAGCACCUUUCAAUCCGGUCCUUCGUUUUUCAAAGCGGAUUAAAACAGCCCUCGUCUGUAUUUCCCUCCAAAUGGGAGUUGAUUGACUAGUAAAUGGGUGGAAAAUAAAAUAAAGGAACGAUGGCGGACUGUACUUGUAGUGGGACCCGUUUGGGAGAACCACCCGGUCACAGGACGGGCCGGGCCGGUUUAGAGACGCAACGCGCGGACGGUGGGCGUCCUGCUACGUGCAAAGUCUGCACGCCGCCGUAAUGAGACUAAACUGACGCUCAUUUAAAGCCUCAAUCGACAACCAAUUAAAUAGAACAGGGAACUAAAUGAAUGAGUGCUUGGCAUUAAUGGAAUGACCAAGUGCCCUUAGACUGUAAUAGACAAGUUAAUUAGAUUUCGUAAUCAAAAAGGGCAGCAUUAGAAACUGAAUUGGAAUUAGUCACAUUUUGCACCAACUUCUCAAACUACAAGAUUGCUGUCAAGACAUUGUUGCAAUAUACAUAUAUAUUUAUAAAUGUGCCUUUGACGUACACAGAGCCUUUGCAGAAGCUAAAAAUGGCCCAAACUAACCAAACGUAUAAUAUAAUUCCAAAAAAUAAAUAUAACAUAAAUAGGCACAAAAGAGUGAGCUUAAAAGUCUUUUUUUUCUCUUUUGUAUGUAAAAAACAAAAAUCCAGCUGGUAUGGCGAGGUUUUUUUUCUUCCUCUUCCUGUGUGACUGUCACUGUGAUCCGUGUGGGUUAAAAGCGGUCUGACCACUCGACAGUGGUCCACACCAGUCAAAGUGUUAGAGUGGAGAGCUCCUGCAGCCUGGUGUUAAAAUUGGUAUCAAAAAUUGAGGGAGGGGGAAAAAGAGGGAAGAGUAUCAUUCAGGAAACAGUGAGAGAAGCUAGUUUGCUUCCAGCCACCCGGAACAUGAAGAGGUCAUCAGAUCUGCAUUGUGACUCACUGUAGCGUGCAUCUAAAAAAAACAAAAAAAAGGGACGGGAGGACAGAACACACACACACACACACUUAAAUAACAGUUCCCUCAUUCAGUUACAUACCCCAUAAAUAUAUUCUAUUUUGAAAAUAGGCGUGUUGGCACUGAUUUUCUAAGCAGUGUGUUAUGUUUUCUUUUGGGGGGCUCUUUGUUUCGCUCCAACAUCGUUUGAGACUAAGUGG
ensembl:lncRNA